UAUGUAAAGAAACUAUUAUGGAUAAUUAGCUAUAUAUUAAAGAUAAUUAUAAAUCUAAAAUCUAAGAUAAAUUAAUUAAAUAAACGAAGUGAAUUGAAGUAUCUUAGUAACUUUAGGAAAAAAAAUCAAACGAGAUUUUAUUAAAAUAAUAUAUUAAUAAAAAAGCUUUUAAGUAAAACGAAUAUAAUUUGUUUGAAAAAAGGGGAACCUUCCUCUAAAGCUAAAUAUAAUAUAUAAGCGAUAGUGAAAAGUACCGUGAGGGAAAAUUUGAAUUAGUAGUUUUAUAAGCAGCUCAAAAAAAAGAGUGUACCUUUUGCAUAAUGGGUCAGCAAGUUAUGUUUAGAAGCGAGCAAUAAAAUUGCCCAGUUAAACCAAUUAUGAAAAAAUAAUAGAGUUUCUAAACAUAGACCCGAAGGCUAGUGAUCUUACCAUGGUCAGGGUACAAAAGGCCCGAACGAGUUAUCGUUGUAAAGAUAUUCGAUGAACUGUGGUAAGUUGGUGAAAGACAAAACUGACUAGUAUAGCUGGUUUUCCGCGAAACCUAUUUAAGUAGGUAAUUUAAUUAACAUCUUAGCAGGUACAGAACUGUGAUCUCGGACAAUGUAAUUUACUUUGUGUAUAUCGGGGGAUCAUAUAGAUUUUAUCGGAGAGUAUUUGCACUCGGAAUGGCAAAGAUGAAUAUUGAAUAAUCAGACAUAGUGCGAUAAGGUUGUAUGUCUAAAGGGAAACAGCCCAGAACAAGAGUUAUAAGGUUCCAAAAUUAUUGUUGAGUGAAAUUAAGGAUGUUUUUAUCAAAAACAAUCAGGAAAUAGGCUUAGAAGCUGCCAUUUUUUGAAGAUCUCGUAACAGAGCACUGAUUAAUUUUUAUUUAGUUAAUAAUACCGAAAAUAUAACGGAUCUAAACAAUAUACCGAAACCUUGUGCGUAUAAAUAUACGAGGUAGCGGAACAUUGGAUAUAUCUUAGAUUUUAUCUUUUUUAAGUUAAAAAAUAAUAGAUAAUCCAAGAGAGAAUGCUGACAUGAGUAACGAAAAAGGAAAUAAAUUCCUCGCCUUAAGCUUAUGGUAUUUUAUUUAAAUUUCGGUAUCUAAGUAUAGACCCUAAAGGGUCUAUUUGAUGAAAAAAAAUUUUUUAUUUGUAAACAAAACCUUUAUUUAGUGGUAAAGGUUCAGGAAAAUGUAACAAAACUACUAAAAAUUAAACCGUACCUAAAUACUAUCGCAAGUAAGCAAGUAGAAUAUACAAAGGCGUUUGAGUGAACAAUCAUUAAGGAACUCGGCAAAUUAACUACCGUAACUUCGGGAUAAGGAGAGCCAUUAUUACUUAUAUUAUGUAUUUAGUUAAUAAAAGGAAGCAUAAAUAGUGUUGUACGACUGUUUAAUUAAAACAAAGCACUCUGCAAAGAUAAAAAUCUAAGUAUUGAGUGUGAUGUCUGCCCGAUGUCGGCAGGGUAACAGAUUUUGCUUAAUAAUUUUUAUUAGGUUCUGAUGGAAACCCCGAUUAAUGGCGGCCUUAUCUAUAAGGGUCCUAAGGUAGCGGAAUACCUUGGCCGUUAAAUGCGGUCUUUGCAUGAAUGACAUAACGAUACAACAGCUGUCUCGAUGAUUGGCUCAGUGAAAUUGAAUUAGCAGUGCAGAUGCUGCUUACCUCUAGAUAGACAAGAAGACCCUUUGCAGCUUUACUGUUACCUAUUAUGAUAUAAUUUGAUAAUUUCCAGUGUAUAAGGUAAUAUUUUUGUAAUUGAAACACCUUUAUUUGUUCUAUUAUAUUCUUAAUGAUAGGAAGGCAGUUUAUGCGGGGCACAGAUCCCAUAAAAAGUACCUGGGUAUAUCCAAAGUUCAUAUUGUAUUUUUGUAAAUUAUAAUUUACAAAAAUUAACUUAUAUAUUUAUAAGUUGAUUAUUUAUUUUGUAAUUAAUUAUUAUUAAUUAUCCAGUUAUUGUUGGAUUAAGUUUUUAAAUUUAAAUUUUUAAGUAAGAUUUUAACUAUAUGGUAAAUAGAUGUAAAUAAAAUAUUAAUAUAAUUAUAUUAAUAUUUUAGUCAUAUUAAUAGAGAAAUUUUACUUAUUAAUAUGAUGUUUUUUUUUACUUUAAAAGUUUAAUGGCUAAAUCUUGCUUUACUGUUUGACAUACAAGUCUAUCAGUCGCGUAAGCGGGGCAUAUGAUCACAAGAUACAUAAAGGAAAGGUCUUGGAUUUAUGAAAAAGUUACGCUAGGGAUAACAGGCUAAUUUGCGCAAGAGAGUACAAAUUGAGUGCGCGGUUUGGCACCUCGAUGUCGGCUUAGCUCAUCCACAUGAAAGUAGAAAUCAUGAAGGGUUCGACUGUUCGUCGAUUAAAGAGCUACAUGAGCUGGGUUUAAUACGUCGUGAGACAGUAUGGUUUUUAUCUUCUAGAGGGAUACAGAGUAAAAGAUAAAUAGGCCCUUCGUACGAAAGGAGUUGGGUAUGUUGACCUAUGGUUUACCUGUUGUUUAGUAAUGUUAAUAACUAGUUUGCUAUCACUAAAGUAAUGAUUAUGUAUACUUUCUUUUAUUAAAGGAUUUAUAUAUGUUUAUUAAGCAUGGCAGGAAAGCUAAGUCAGUUAUAGAUAAGUGCUGAAAGCAUUUAAGCGCGAAGCUUAUUAUAUUAUACUCUUAUAUAAACGUAAUAAAAUAUUACGUUAUAGGCUUUAGUUGUAA
rnacentral:rRNA from 1 species